CUCUGGCGGCACACACCUACUUCAGGGAUCUGGUUUUUAAUCACAUAAUCAAGGUGUGUUAGUCCGACAUUGCAAAAACCGAACACGAUCAGAUUGCCGUGUUUCCAUGGACGCUUAUUUAGAGCCAAACUAUUUGAGAAAUCAGACUAAUUUAGGGCAUGGACACACACUGACUGACACAACUCGUUUUUCUUCUUUUUUGUGCUCAGUUUUUCAUGAUGCUGCCAAUGACAAAAUUCAGAGUUUGAUGCAACACUUCAUCAUUUAGUUGGAUAUUUCGGGAGCAGUCACAGACACACAAGGUGUGGUGAAAUCACUCUCUGCAUGUGACCCAGUCCCUUUGUUCCACCCCUUGGGAGGUGAGGGGAGCAGUGAGCAGCAGCAGUGGCCGCGCUCGGGAAUCAUUUUUGGUGAUUUAACCCCCAAUUCCGACCCUUGAUGCUGAGUGCCAAACAAAGAGAGCCCUUGUGGAGUCAUGUUGCAAAAAUGGCAACGAGGCAUGUCCAAAAAGGUUUAAAAAAAAAAACAAAACUGGAAGAAAGGAGACGUCUGCAGCUGAAGGCCGAAGGGUUCUCGUGACUUGAGCAUGAGGCUGUGAUGUUAGCGUAUGGUUUCCAAGCAACCCUCACAUGUCCGCCCUCUUCUUAAAGGCAACAAGAGAUCAGUGUCUGCAUUACAAGCCUAUUAAAAGCUACUUUUAAUUAGGUCCUCUUGUGGGAUCGCUUCCUUCUCAAGGCAUGUGGCACAAUCCCGUUUCUUCUUCGUCCAAUUAAAGGCCAUGU